rnacentral:rRNA from 1 species
UACGGAGGGUGCAAGCGUUAAUCGGAAUUACUGGGCGUAAAGCGUGCGUAGGUGGUUCGUUAAGUCCGUUGUGAAAGCCCCGAGCUCAACUUGGGAAUUGCAGUGGAUACUGGCGAGCUGGAGUGCGGUAGAGGAAGGUGGAAUUCCCGGUGUAGCGGUGAAAUGCGUAGAGAUCGGGAGGAACACCGGUGGCGAAGGCGGUUCUCUGGGCCUUACCUGACACUGAGGAGCGAAAGCGUGGGGAGCGAACAGG